rnacentral:rRNA from 1 species
CUGCGAAAGCCGGAUUAAUACCGCAUACGCUCUGUGGAGGAAAGCGGGGGAUCUUCGGACCUCGCGCUCAAGGGGCGGCCGAUGGCAGAUUAGCUAGUUGGUGGGGUAAAGGCCUACCAAGGCGACGAUCUGUAGCUGGUCUGAGAGGACGACCAGCCACACUGGGACUGAGACACGGCCCAGACUCCUACGGGAGGCAGCGGUGGGGAAUUUUGGACAAUGGGGGCAACCCUGAUCCAGCAAUGCCGCGUGUGUGAGGAAGGCCUUCGGGUUGUAAAGCACUUUUGUCCGGAAAGAAAACCGCUUCUCUAAUACAGAGGCGGGAUGACGGUACCGGAAGAAUAAGCACCGGCUAACUACGUGCCAGCAGCCGCGGUAAUACGUAGGGUGCAAGCGUUAAUCGGAAUUACUGGGCGUAAAGCGUGCGCAGGCGGUUCGCUAAGACCGAUGUGAAAUCCCCGGGCUUAACCUGGGAACUGCAUUGGUGACUGGCGAGCUAGAGUAUGGCA